rnacentral:ribozyme from 21 species
GGCUGACAAAAUCCUAUCUCUACCUCCUCGUGGUGUCAGCCGGAAUGUGCAGUAUCAGUACUGCAUAUACCAACAGAGAGGG